AGCGAACGCUGGCGGCGUGCCUAAUACAUGCAAGUCGAGCGAACAGACGAGGAGCUUGCUCCUCUGACGUUAGCGGCGGACGGGUGAGUAACACGUGGAUAACCUACCUAUAAGACUGGGAUAACUUCGGGAAACCGGAGCUAAUACCGGAUAACAUGUUGAACCGCAUGGUUCAACAGUGAAAGACGGUCUUGCUGUCACUUAUAGAUGGAUCCGCGCCGCAUUAGCUAGUUGGUAAGGUAACGGCUUACCAAGGCAACGAUGCGUAGCCGACCUGAGAGGGUGAUCGGCCACACUGGAACUGAGACACGGUCCAGACUCCUACGGGAGGCAGCAGUAGGGAAUCUUCCGCAAUGGGCGAAAGCCUGACGGAGCAACGCCGCGUGAGUGAAGAAGGUCUUCGGAUCGUAAAACUCUGUUAUUAGGGAAGAACAAAUGUGUAAGUAACUAUGCACGUCUUGACGGUACCUAAUCAGAAAGCCACGGCUAACUACGUG
rnacentral:rRNA from 1 species